GAUGAACGCUGGCGGCGUGCCUAAUACAUGCAAGUCGAGCGAACAGACGAGGAGCUUGCUCCUCUGACGUUAGCGGCGGACGGGUGAGUAACACGUGGAUAACCUACCUAUAAGACUGGGAUAACUUCGGGAAACCGGAGCUAAUCCCGGAUAAUAUAUUGAACCGCAUGGUUCAAUAGUGAAAGACGGUUUUGCUGUCACUUCUAGAUGGAUCCGCGCCGCAUUAGCUAGUUGGUAAGGUAACGGCUUACCAAGGCAACGAUGCGUAGCCGACCUGAGAGGGUGAUCGGCCACACUGGAACUGAGACACGGUCCAGACUCCUACGGGAGGCAGCAGUAGGGAAUCGUCCGCAAUGGGCGAAAGCCUGACGGAGCAACGCCGCGUGAGUUAUGAAGGUCUUCGGAUCGUAAAACUCUGUUAUUAGGGAAGAACAAAUGUGUAAGUAACUAUGCACGUCUUGACGGUACCUAAUCAGAAAGCCACGGCUAACUACGUG
rnacentral:rRNA from 1 species